rnacentral:pre_miRNA from 1 species
UAGUUGCUCCCUCCGUUCGGAAAUACCCGUCUUAAGAAUGGAUGUAUCUACACGUAAUUUAAAUUUAGAUACAUCAAUCUUUAUCCAUUUCUUCGAUAAAUAUUUCCGAACGAAGGGAGUAUAUG